UACGAAGGAUCCAAGCGUUGUCCGGAUUUACUGGGUUUAAAGGGUGCGUAGGCGGACUUUAAGUCAGUGGUGAAAGCCUGGAGCUUAACUCCAGAAUUGCCAUUGAAACUGAGAGUCUCGAGUAUGGUUGAGGUUACGUGGAAUGUUGGCAUGUAGCGGUGAAAUGCUUAGAUAUGACAACGAGAACACCAAUUGCGAAGGCAGGUAACUAAGCCAUAACUGACGCUGAGGCACGAAAGCGUGGGGAGCAAGCAGG
rnacentral:rRNA from 1 species